AUCUGGCGGCCUGACUUGCUGAUUUUUUCUACAUUCUUUUUUAGUAUGAAUAGCUUUUUUAAAUUCUUUGAGUAAUUUAAAAGGAAAAGGCUCAAAUGUAGCUGUAAUAUUUCCCUGUUGAUCUGGGGGGUUUGUUCUAACAGGGAACCGCCAAACCUCUAAAUCACCCUCUCGUAUAGCUUGCUGAAUUCCUGCCUGAAUAGAACUAAGAGCCGUCACUCGAGGUGCCGCUCGAAGAGUCACUGGGGCAACUACUUUUUGCCCAAUGUCCUCCGGAAAAGAAAGAUCCGGGGGGUCAUUUUCUUCAAAAUAAUAAGGAGGGGGUGCAGAAGGGUAGGGAUGAACCUCUCCUUCCUUUGCCACUUUAGCUUUAGCUGGCAAAUAAACCUGCUCUGUAACCUCUUCUGUUACUUCACUAUUCUCUUGUUCCUCCUCAUUAUCAGUGUGAAAAAGUUCUAAGGUGAAACGAACCAGACCCCAUCCCUGUCCCAUUGUUACCCUGAGGCAUCCGAGCUCCCCUUCUUACUCACCAUGGGGACUGCUUUAAGAGUACUCGGGUGUCCUCCAGCUAGUUUUCUGUUCCAAGCAUCGCUUCAGCAACCCUUUGACCUGGAUUUGAGCCCCCACGAAUGGACGCCACUUGCGCGAGACCAGCUCGGUCAGGGAGACCCUAACCCAGUGGCGCUAGAGGAAUUAAAGACACACACACACAGAAAUAUAGAAGUGUGAAGUGGGAAAUCAGGGGUCUCACAGCCUUCGGAGCUGGGAGCCCCAAACAGAGAUUUACCCGCGUAUUUAUUAACAGCAAACCAGUCAUUAGCAUUGUUUCUAUAGAUAUUAAAUUAACUAAAAGUAUCCCUUUUGGGAAACUAAGGGAAGGGCCGAAUUAAAGGAGUAGGUUGGGCUGGUUAACUGCAGCAGGAGCAUGUUCUUAAGGCACAGAUCGCUCAU
rnacentral:lncRNA from 10 species